GAUCUCUACAGAUUGUCCUUAAGAUGAGCCAAAGAUGUUCAGAAGGGUUUCACAUAUGUCUCUUGAUCCUAAAUGCCCCCAUUACCAGACUGUCAUUACUAUUAGUCACUGAAAACAGAUUCUAUCAUUUGAGGGGAAAGUAAGUCCCCAAAAUACCCCACUCCCAACCAUGUACAUGACUAUAACUCACUCACAAGAGAAGGAAAACUGAUAUGGUCUCAAUAGGAACCAACAUUCACUAGAGGAUGAAGAGGAAACCAUACAAAAUGCUUGAGAUCAUUUAUUAUUUUUUUUAACAGGGGAAAAACUUUCUUUGAGGCACAGCAAGAAAAUGCAAGUUUCAGAGGCUGAAGAGUGUAUACGUGGAUGCCUUUUACUCUGAAGACGCUACAGAUUCAUGGCUUGAUGUUAGUCUCAAGAAGAAUGGAGGUGAAACUGGAAGAAGGUUUAAGACAAAGAAGAUCAAAUCACACAUGGCCAUCUACUAGGGAGGCAGUAAGUCCCUUAAUUUCUCUUUUCUCCAUGACACCAGUAGGGCCCACUGGAACCUUAUAACGUUCUGCUGUUCUCUGCAAACCAUGAAAACAACAGCAUUAGGGCUGGGGGAGCUUAGCACUAAUUUUCUUUUUUCUUUUUAUUUGUUUAUCUUUAUUUACUAGAGACAGCCAGAAAUUGAGAGGGAAAGGGGUAAUAGGAAGGGAGGGGUUGGGGGGGGAGAGAGAGAGAGAGAGACCUGCAGCCCUGAUUUACCACUCACAAAGCUUUCCCCCUGCAGGUGGGGACUGGGGGAUGGAACCCAGGUCCUUAUACGCUGUAACAUGUGCGCUCAACCAGGUGUGUCACCACCUGACCCCAACAUUAUUUUUCUUCUACUGACUAGGCUGUUGGAAGAGCUGGCCCACUUGCCAACACCUUCAACAUCCCUCUUCUCCUUAUGAGACCAACUUCAUUCUGAACAGAAGCUCUUGUACAGAGCUAUGGGGUAUGUGGCAGAAAGAGAGCUCUGGUUCUUUAAAAGUGGUCUUAUUUCAUUCUUAGCUACUUUGCUCAUGUAAGCUAAAAACAGUUAACAGACUGUAAUUAGUGGUAUGUAAUCUUGCCCAAAAGUAAGCCAUUAGUGCUUUAAUAUCCAUUUGAUAAAGACACCCAACGUUUCCCCAAGAUCCCAAGAAAACCAUUUUAUUUCAGCUUCCCUCAUGGAAAAAAAAAAAACAUAUAAUCUUGAAGAACACCUGUAUUUCUGGGAAAAUACAUGCUGGAUUCUGGACAACCCCCUCCCUCUUCCCCAGAAAUUAAGAAUGACAACUUCCACAAGGGGGCAUGCAUGGAGCUAAGGACCACGGCUAAUAGGACUGAGGUCAAACGACAUGUACAGCAUGCCUGAUGGUCACUGCCAUUCUGUCAAUUAGGUAUCUCUCAACAAGGUUCUGCAAUGGGUAUUUGCCUCUGUCCCUGGCCCGAAUCCCAUAUUCCUUUUUUCAAUAUCUCUUUGUUGGUACAAGGGGAUGGAAGAAGCACACGGCAAGCAGUACAAGAGGUAUUCAUUCUCCUGGAAAGGAAGAGUCCAUGCCAGAGGUCCAUGGCCAGACUAGCUAGGAUGACUGUCAUCCCAAAUCUCCAAUUUCUUUUCAGUAAACAGUUCUUGGCAGGUAGGAGCAGGCUUUGUGCCUUGUGAAUACUAUCAGAGUUGCGAUAUGAAGGCAGGGGGGCAAGGAAGGAAGGAGGGAGGAGAGGAAAAGUUCUUAUGGUUAUUGCUGUCACUUAGGGGACUUCCAAUGGCGCUUACAGAAAUGACAUUUUCUGGGUAGUCUUCUGUGACUUCCAUGUGGGGAGGAACAUGCCAUCUGGCUUGAGCAAAGAGACCACACAAAUGUUGAAGCUGCACUGUACCACC